rnacentral:rRNA from 1 species
GAUCAAGCUAUUAAGGGUAUGCGGUGGAUGUCUUGGCGUCAAGAGGCGAUGAAAGACGUGGUAACCUGCGAUAAGCCUAGGGGAGCUGGUAAACGAGCUUUGAUCCUAGGAUUUCUGAAUGGGGAAACCCAACACUUCGGUGUUAUCCAUGCCUGAAUGUAUAGGGCAUGGAAGCGAACCUGGCAAACUGAAACAUCUAAGUAGCCAGAGGAAAAUAAAGAAACCUCGAUUCCGUCAGUAGCGGCGAGCGAAAUCGGAAUAAGCCCAAACCACUCUUCGGAGUGGGGUUGCGGGCACCAAUGUGAUAUCCACGCGGUUGUUUUGAACAGUCUGGGAAGGCUGACUAUAGAAGGUGACAGUCCUGUAUGAACGACCAAAUGGAGUCUAGGUGUACCAGAGUAGUACGAAGCUCGUGAAACUUCGUGUGAAACCGGGGGGCCCACCCCCCAAGGCUAAAUACUCCUUGACGACCGAUAGCGUAUCAGUAGGGUGAUUGAACGAUGAAAAGUUCCCCGACAAGGGAAGUUAAAAGUACCUGAAACCGCAUACUUACAAACGGUCGGAGCCAUUCUUCGGAAUGGUGACGGCGUGCCUUUUGCAUAAUGAGCCGGCGAGUUAAUCUUCGUGGCAAGCUUAAGCUGUACACCAGUGUAGGCGUAGGGAAACCAAGUCUUAAAAGGGCGCCAAGUCGCGGGGAUUAGACGCGAAACCGAGUGAUCUACCCAUGGCCAGGUUGAAGGAAAGGUAAAACUUUCUGGAGGACCGAACCCGUUAUCGUUGAAAAGAUAUGGGAUGAGCUGUGGGGAGGAGUCAAAGUCUAAUCAAACUCGGAGAUAUCUCGUUCUCCUCGAAAUAGCUUUAGGGCUAGCCUCGCGUUACGCAUAACAGGGGUAGAGCUACCAAAUGGGGCUGGGGGGCAACCUGCCUACCCACCCCAAUUGAACUCCGAAUACUGUUAUGUUUUGUCGCGGGAGUCAGACUGUGGGGGAUAAUCUCCAUGGUCAAAAGGGUAACAACCCGGACCGCCAGCUAAGGUCCCCAAUAUCAUCUAAGUUCUUAAGGAAGUUAGGGUGCAAUGACAGCCAGGAUGUUGGCUUAGAAGCAGCCACCAUUUAAAGAGUGCGUAAUAGCUCACUGGUCGAGGAUCCUAGCGCCGAUAAUGAUCGGGAAUAAGAUGAUAACCGAAGCUGCGGACUACACCAUGUAGUGGUAGAGGAGCGUUCUUGUCAGCGUUGAAGCGAAACGGUAACGUUUCGUGGAGCGUCAAGAAGUGAUUAUGCCGGCUUGAGUAACGAUAAAACAGGUGAAAAUCCUGUUCGCCGAAAGACUAAGGUUUCCUGGGGAAGGUAAAUCCGCCCAGGGUUAGUCGGCCCCUUAGACGAGGCUGAAAAGCGUAGUCGAUGGGAAGCAGGUUAAUAUUCCUGCACCUCUGUGAAGUGACGGAUCUUGAAGGUUGGUCGCACGGCUAGAUGAGUGCGUACCGCAAGGUCGAGGGCGUUUGAUCCCGAAGCCAGCUGAAUAGGUUCCAAGAAAUAGCUCACAAAUAGAGACCGUACUAAAACUGACACAGGUAGUCGUGGUGAAUAACCUCAGGCGCUCGAGAGAACGGUUGUUAAGGAACUAGGCAAAUUUACCCCGUACGUUCGCAAUAAGGGGGCCCUAACCCACUCGAUGGGAAGGGCGCAGAGAAAAGGCUCUGGGGACUGUUUAUCAAAAACACAGGACUGUGCUAACUCGCAAGAGGAUGUAUACAGUCUGACGCCUGCUCGGUGCCGGAAUGUCAAGGAAGCAGGUUAGCUUCGGCGAAGCUUGCGACCUAAGCACCGGUAAACGGCGGCCGUAACUAUGACGGUCCUAAGGUAGCGAAAUUCCUUGUCGGGUAAGUUCCGACGCGCAUGAAUGGCGUAACCACUGGAGCACUGUCUCCACGACCAACUCGGUGAAAUAGUAGUGGCGGUGAAGAUGCCGCCUACCCGCAGCAAGACGGAAAGACCCCGUGAACCUUUACUGCAGGCUUCUAUUGGUCGUGAGCAUAAAUUGCGUAGGAUAAGUGGGAGACGUUGAUCCGGACCUUUUGGGGUUCGGGGAGUCGUUGGUGAAAUACCACUCUGUUUACGUUUACGGCCUAACCCCGAUUCCCGUGAAACCGGGCGGGGGACCAUGGGUGCCGGGCAGUUUGACUGGGGCGGUCUCCUCCUAAAGAGUAACGGAGGAGCACAAAGGUUGGUUCAGCGCGGAUGGAAACCGCGCGUCGAGUGUAAGAGCACAAGCCAGCUUUACUGCGAGUCUGACAGGACGAGCAGUUACGAAAGUAGGUUCUAGUGAUCCUGCGAUCCCGUGUGGAAGGGUCGUAGCUCAUCGGAUAAAAGGUAC